GUGUUUGCUUCAGCAGCACUUAUACUAAAUUGGAAUGAUACAGAGAAGAUUAGCAUGGUCCCUGUGCAAGGAGAAAAUGAAAGCACAAUCCAUAAACUGU
rnacentral:snRNA from 3 species